CCCCUCAUCUGGGAACUGGGAACGUCUCAUACCAGACGAGUCUAACUACAAAUGUUUUUGUGGUAGAGUAAUUAUGGUGUAUGCGUACGUGGAGACAGUGUUUGUGAAGCAAUCGCUGACAUAGUGUAACUGAGGCGGAAUAAGGGGAACCAACACGCAUUCGCCGAGAUAGAUGUAAAACAGCCUUAAAAACCAUCCACAGGCUGGCCGGCACACCGUACCUCGACACUAAUCCUCUGGGUGGAUUCGUGCCGGGGAUCAGCACGCCAGCGCGUUAGACCGCGUGGCUAGCCAGGUGGGCUAUACAUACUUUAUUAUCUCUUAUUUGUGAAUGUGUGUGACAGUGAAACCCUGGUGAAAUGGUACAUUCAUAUGUGAAUAGUUAAAUAUGAAAUUAAAUAUUUUAGCUGUAUGUCUGUCAUCGUCAAUCUCAAUGCUAGAAUAGUGUAAGAGAGACAGCAUCCGUCUGUUGAGUUUCUAAUUUUUCACACAGAUCCUACAAUGAAAGAUACUGCAGGCUUCAGAUACAGUCCUUGUCGUAGUUUCAUGUACUACCGUUAAGUUUUCUACAUCUUUUUCGUUGUCAGAGAGUAAUAGCCUUAGUUUAUACAAGAUUCUCCGUAUAUGGUACACCAAGGUGGGUCUUUGCCACUCUCUAUUGUGGUACUGAGUACGUCUAUUGUCUAGACAAUGGUUGAUUAUUUCUUUGAGCUUUAACCACAAUUCUUCUGCGUUUGUCGAAUUUGAAACAGACGUCAUCAGACACAAAAUCUAAGAUCGUAAAAUUUCAGACACUUUCUGUUCUCCUAGUUAUGCUCUUUAAGUCAGACGUCUGGGUAUCAAGGACGUAUUUCUUCACAGAUACUAUUUUGUAUUCCCACCCUUAAGCCAUUUACCAGCUAUAUUCUGCAACGACCAGGAUAAAGAAAGAGAGAUCUGACUCAAAAUUUCUGCAACUAUU